rnacentral:rRNA from 1 species
CUACGGGUGGCACCAGUGAGGAAUAUUGCACAAUGGGGGGAACCCUGAUGCAGCAACGCCGCGUGGAGGAUGACGCAUUUCGGUGUGUAAACUCCUUUUAUAUGUCAAGAAAAUGACGGUAGCAUAUGAAUAAGCACCGGCUAACUCCGUGCCAGCAGGCGCGGUAAUACGGAGGGUGCAAGCGUUACUCGGAAUCACAGGGCGUAAAGGACGCGUAGGCGGGUUGGAAAGUCAGGUGUGAAAUCCUACAGCUUAACUGUAGAACUGCACUUGAAACUUCUAAUCUAGAGUAUGGGAGGGGGAGAUGGAAUUAGUGGUGUAGGGGUAAAAUCCGUAGAUAUCACUAGGAAUACCUAAAGCGAAGGCGAUCUCCUGGAACAUUACUGACGCUAAGGCGUGAAAGCGUGGGGAGCAAACAGGAUUAGAUACCCUAGUAGUC